rnacentral:snoRNA from 1 species
AUCCCAAAUAAACUCUUCUGUGUUUAUUUGAUUCAUGGGAGGCCUAAAUCAAGCAUGGGAGUUCGCUGAUAGCACCUUUCAUUUUGCAGAAGGUGUUUCAAUAGUACCUCACCAUACAUGU